rnacentral:rRNA from 1 species
CCUACGUGUGGCAGCAGUGAGGAAUAUUGGUCAAUGGACGAGAGCCUGAACCAGCCAAGUAGCGUGAAGGAUGACUGCCCUAUGGGUUGUACACUUCUUUUAUAUGGGAAUAAAAUGUUCCCCGUGUGGGCUUUUGUAUGUACCAUAUGAAUAAGGAUCGGCUAACUCCGUGCCCGCAGCCGCGGUAAUCCGGAGGAUCCGAGCGUUUUCCGGAUUUAUUGGGUUUAAAGGGAGCGUAGGUGGUUUGUUAAGUCAGUUGUGAAAGUUUGCGGCUCAACCGUAAAAUUGCAGUUGAAACUGGCAGUCUUGAGUACAGUAGAGGUAGGCGGAAUGCGUGGUGUAGCGGUGAAAUGCUUAGAUAUCACGAAGAACUCCGAUUGCGAAGGCAGCUCACUGGACUGCAACUGACACUGAGGCUCGAAAGUGUGGGUAUCAAACAGGAUUAGAUACCCGUGUAGUC